rnacentral:miRNA from 1 species
GGGGCCUUAGCUCCUAGUCCUGGA